rnacentral:rRNA from 1 species
CCUACGGGGGGCUGCAGUGGGGAAUAUUGGACAAUGGGGGCAACCCUGAUCCAGCCAUGCCGCGUGUGUGAAGAAGGCCCUCGGGUUGUAAAGCACUUUCAGUGAGGAAGAACGCCUGGUGGUUAAUACCCAUCAGGAAAGACAUCACUCACAGAAGAAGCACCGGCUAACUCCGUGCCAGCAGCCGCGGUAAUACGGAGGGUGCGAGCGUUAAUCGGAAUUACUGGGCGUAAAGCGCGCGUAGGUGGCUUGAUAAGCCGGUUGUGAAAGCCCCGGGCUCAACCUGGGAACGGCAUCCGGAACUGUCAAGCUAGAGUGGAGGAGAGGAAGGUAGAAUUCCCGGUGUAGCGGUGAAAUGCGUAGAGAUCGGGAGGAAUACCAGUGGCGAAGGCGGCCUUCUGGACUGACACUGACACUGAGGUGCGAAAGCGUGGGUAGCAAACAGGAUUAGAUACCCGGGUAGUC